AGAACGCAGCGAAACGCGAUAGGUAAUGUGAAUUGCAGAAUUCCGUGAAUCAUCGAAUCUUUGAACGCACCUUGCGCUCCAUGGUAUUCCGUGGAGCAUGCCUGUUUGAGUGCCGCGAAUUCUCCCUCCCCUUACGGUGGCCGAAAGGCCGAAGUAGGGCGGACGGGGUAGGAUGGGUGUUGCUGCCUGGGGAUUGUACCAGGCUCGCCCGAAAUGCAUAAGCGCCAGGACCCUCGCUACCGCUCUCUAGGGAAGAGUGGCUAAGCGACCGCUGAGCAUGGCAUGAUACGUCAUUUGCUGUGUGUGGGCGGCCGGUUGGAGAGGUGUCUGCUUUACCAGCCCUUUUUUAAUUCUGGUCUCAAAUCAGGUAGGAUCACCCGCUGAACUUAAGCAUAUCA
rnacentral:rRNA from 1 species